AACGAACGCUGGCGGCAUGCCUAACACAUGCAAGUCGAACGAAACCUUCGGGUCUAGUGGCGCACGGGUUCGUAACGCGUGGGAACCUGCCCUUAGGUUCGGAAUAACUCCCCGAAAGGGGUGCUAAUGCCAGAUAAGGUCUUCGGACCAAAGAUUUAUUGCCUUUGGAUGGGCCCGCGUUGGAUUAGCUAGUUGGUAGGGUAAAAGCCUACCAAGGGCUGGAUCCAUAGCUGGUCUGAGAGGAUGAUCAGCCACACUGGGACUGAGACACGGCCCAGAAUCCUACGGGAGGCAGCAGUGGGGAAUAUUGGACAAUGGGCGCAAGCCUGAUCCAGCAAUGACGGGUGAGUGAUGAAGGCCUUAGGGUUGUAAAGCUCUUUUACCCGGGAUGAUAAUGACAGUACCGGGAGAAUAAGCUCCGGCUAACUACGUG
rnacentral:rRNA from 1 species